CGGAGGAAAAGAAACUAACAAGGAUUCCCCUAGUAACGGCGAGUGAAGCGGGAAGAGCUCAAAUUUGAAAUCUGAUGGCCUCAGGCUAUCCGAGUUGUAAUCUAUAGGAACGUUUUCCGUGCCGGCUCAUGUACAAGUCCCUUGGAACAGGGCGUCAUAGAGGGUGAGAAUCCCGUACUUGACAUGAACUACCGGUGCUCUGUGAUACGUCUCCAACGAGUCGAGUUGUUUGGGAAUGCAGCUCAAAAUGGGUGGUAAAUUCCAUCUAAAGCUAAAUAUUGGUGUGAGACCGAUAGCGAACAAGUACCGUGAGGGAAAGAUGAAAAGCACUUUGGAAAGAGAGUUAAAAAGUAUGUGAAAUUGUUGAAAGGGAAACGAUUGAAGUCAGUCAUGUCCUUCAGAUUCAGCUGGUUCUGCCGGUGUAUUUCUGUUGGAUGGGGUCAACAUCAGUUUUGGAUGCCGGAUAAAGGCUGGAGGAAGGUAGUACCCCCGGGUAAACUUAUAGCCUCCUGUCGCAUACGGUGACCGGGACUGAGGAACGCAGCUUGCCUUUAUGGCCGGGGUUCGCCCACGUACAAGCUUAGGAUGUUGACAUAAUGGCUUUAAACGACCCGUCUUGAAACACG
rnacentral:rRNA from 1 species